rnacentral:tRNA from 1 species
GUUUUUGUAGUGUAGUGGUCAUCACGUGCGCUUCACACGCUCAAGUUCCCCAGUUUGAUCCUGGGCGGAAUCA